UACGUAGGGUGCAAGCGUUGUCCGGAAUCACUGGGUGUAAAGGGAGCGCAGGCGGGUUGGUAAGUCCUUGGUGAAAUCCUGAGGCUUAACCUCAGGGCUGCCACGGAAACUGCUGACCUUGAGUACAGAAGAGGAAGACGGAAUUCCUGGUGUAGCGGUGAAAUGCGUAGAUAUCAGGAAGAACACCGGUGGCGAAGGCGGUCUUCUGGUCUGUUACUGACGCUCAUGCUCGAAAGCGUGGGGAG
rnacentral:rRNA from 1 species